rnacentral:rRNA from 1 species
GAGACAGCAGUCGCCACGGUAAUACAGAGGGUGCAAGCGUUGUUCGGAAUUACUGGGCGUAAAGCGCACGUAGGCGGCUUGGUAAGUUAGAGGUGAAAGCCUGGAGCUCAACUCCAGAAUUGCCUUUAAGACUGCCGAGCUAGCAGGUGAGAGAGGUAAGUGGAAUUCCGAGUGUAGAGGUGAAAUUCGUAGAUAUUCGGAAGAACACCAGUGGCGAAGGCGGCUUACUGGCUCAUACUGGACGCUGAGGUGCGAAAGCGUGGGGAGCAAACAGGAUUAGAUACCCGCGUAGUCCCUGUCUCUUAUAC